GACGAACGCUGGCGGCGUGCCUAAUACAUGCAAGUUGAGCGCUGAAGGUUGGUACUUGUACCAACUGGAUGAGCAGCGAACGGGUGAGUAACGCGUGGGGAAUCUGCCUUUGAGCGGGGGACAACAUUUGGAAACGAAUGCUAAUACCGCAUAAAAACUUUAAACACAAGUUUUAAGUUUGAAAGAUGCAAUUGCAUCACUCAAAGAUGAUCCCGCGUUGUAUUAGCUAGUUGGUGAGGUAAAGGCUCACCAAGGCGAUGAUACAUAGCCGACCUGAGAGGGUGAUCGGCCACAUUGGGACUGGGACACGGCCCAAACUCCUACGGGAGGCAGCAGUAGGGAAUCUUCGGCAAUGGACGAAAGUCUGACCGAGCAACGCCGCGUGAGUGAAGAAGGUUGUCGGAUCGUAAAACUCUGUUGGUAGAGAAGAACGUUGGUGAGAGUGGAAAGCUCAUCAAGUGACGGUAACUACCCAGAAAGGGACGGCUAACUACGUG
rnacentral:rRNA from 1 species